GGAAGGAUCAUUGUCGAGUCCCCCUUUUAGA
rnacentral:rRNA from 1 species